GGGUUUAAUUCUCCACAUUUUCAAAAAUAUACAUUUUUACUAGAGAAAAUAAACAAAAAAGUGUUUUCAAACUGAAUUGAAAUGGAAAAAAAACCUGACUGUCCUAUAAAGUAGCAGCUUAAAAAAGAACUGAGAUCUACGGUGCAGGAACAGAAUGUACAAAAAUCAUAACUCAACUCACAAGAAAGGGGAUGACACAGAGAAUAUAUAGGGAGUGGCCAGUUCCAUUCUCAACAUGAAGGGGAUUCUGCAAAACAUCCAUCUGCAAUUACAGACUAUAAUGAUAUAAAGUUUUAACAUAAUGAUCAGAUUUUAAAUACAACCUUUAUUUUAGCAUUAGCAAUACAUUACAGCAAUAGAGAACGGUACUUUGCCAUUUUAAUAUUGUCCCUGGAAAUAGAGUUCCCCUGCGUUGACCAGAGAGGUGGCAUUUCUCAAUGCUCCUCCAGAACAAUACUUUAGUGGUGGAUUUCCACAUAGACCUCCUUUACCAGAACACAGCUGGCUUACCUGCUGCAGACAUGGUGCUGGUAACUGCUGAGACAAGGGGGUUAACAGAAGACAUUAUAUAGCUCAAACUUUGACUGUGUAUUUGAGAAUAAUAAUGGUUAAAUAAUAAUAAAGUUCGAUGAUAGAGUUAAAUUAUACCCGUGACUAUUACCAAAAGUGUGCACUCAACAUAAAGAAACAAAGUUGACAUGAUUUGUAAUUAUGAAUUCCUGCAAUAGUGUUAUGUAUGGGAUAUAAGAAACACAAGCUAUGUGAUGCGUCGUCAUUUAUAUAUUAUGUGUAUCACCAUGAGUAUAAUGCAAAGUGAGUGUUAACGUGCAUUCAAUUUAAAUGCCAUUUGUUUGGCCAGGGUUGUUAUUAAAUACUUGUUAUUAAAUACGUGUUUUUAUUAAGAAUGUAUUUCUACAAGAGGGUCUAAUCCAUCAUGACUUCUAUGGUCCCGUUAUUAUUAGCGUAAAGUUACCGUUCGCGUCUGUGGUAACACUGCACCACUCAGACUGGCAGAGCUAUUGGGCCAAAGACAGAAACAUAUAUAACAGUCCAGACAGCUCAUGAUGAAUUACUGCUUUGGCUGAGUUUAUUCGCUGGUACUUAGGGUUGGCAGUGAUAUACACCAAAUAGCCGCAGUUUGAUUGGGAGGUCACUUGAGUCAGUCUGUCAAGAGAGCAGGCUAUCAGACAGUCUGUCCUAGGUAGACAGCGAGAGAGGAGGGGGGUGUAAAAGACAAUCCCAGACGGUGGCCUUUGAUGAAGUUACUUUUUCUGCCAUUGUCCAAAAUGAUUGCAGUCCUCUCCUCACCAGACAUGAUUUAAAUAUGGCACAUAAUAGUAUUAGCAUAACAGUAAUUGUAUCCACAGGCAGUCUCCCUGUGUCACAUAUCCUAAAACAUGUUCUUUGAGUUCAUAGCAUGAUAGUUUUUCUCCAGUCUCAUAUCAGGGCCAAAGUGACAAAGCAAUUAAAAUGUGACACUAUCCUUCAUAUUUCACGUUCUAACAAGGCUCUGAGUGGUUGAGCUGGUUUAAGAAGCAUAGUGCAGAAAAAAACAGCAAGGUGAAUCAGAAAGUCAGUGCUUAUGAAGAAGUUUCUUUCAGGGACAAAGAAAAUCCUACAAUAAUGUUUUCAGAUAGAAAAACUUUAAACAGUUAGGGAGUACUAAUGUCUUUUCAUCUGCACAAAAACAUUUCAAGCUUCUCAAGGUCAGUUCUAGUUUUACAUUACUGAAGUAUACAAAAGAAAUGAGGAACUCCAAAUAACCCUCCCGCUUCAGCAGAAAUUGAAUAUUUUCACUUAAUAUUUCACUAGGGUAUCCGGCUCAGAUUUUCCUGAAGAGGGAAUUGGCCGACCUGACUAUUUGUCUGCAUAUCCACUUGGCAAAUAAAGAUAGCAGCAAAGAUAACAUCAGGGCUGUUUUCAUUAGUAGGGAACUCAAUCCGGUGUAUGUGACAAUAAAAACAUAGAUUUAUUUUAAUCAAUAGAUCAAUACCAUUUUUAUGAAUAGUCGUGGUAAGGAUUUUCCCUUUUAUCAGUACAAAUGUGCAGUACCAAGCCCCCAAGUCCAGCUCUCCAGAACCAACUAUACAGCAUGGGCAUCUUUCUUUAGAUGUUAAUAUUAGAAUACUGUGUAAAGCGUGUGGUAACAAUGGGUCUUCAAAUUCUACACACCCCCUCAGAAUGUGUUCAUAUCUCUUUCCAACAAUUGUACAGUAACAUCUUGAAGUAAAUCCUGGCGUUUCCAUCCAAUUUGAAAGAUUUUCAUGCAAAUAUUAUAAAAUCUGCAUGAAAACAAUAUGGCAUUUCCCCUUCAGAGAUGUGUUUCCAUCAAAUGGACUUGUUGCAGAUAAAAGGAUGUGCGUGAAGAUGUAGUGCACAUAAAAAUUACUGUUAUGGUUAAAUUCCCAUGUACUGAAUAAAACGUGUUUCCAUCUUAAUUUCAACUCUGAUGGUUUUGUCACCAAAAAAAAGUAUUAUAUAGCUAAUGUUCAAAAUCUGGUCUUGGUAUGUGUGCUUUACCCAACACUAUUAUGGAUGAGAGUGAGAAUAUUUUGAUUUGUCAAACGGCAGUCAAGCAUCUAUCAUCAUGUCACCAGAAUAAGAGCCUCGAUAUUUAUUGGAAAGGUGUAUCAAGCUCAUCACCAUACACUUUCACCACCCUGUGAAGUUCAUCCUAACUUAUUUUAUCUGUAGCCUAAUAAACUGCAUGGUUUCCUGACUGGUAGUCGGAGUACCAAACACCACAUAAUCCAUGACUCCAAGUUUACUUCGAUUUGGUGGUUAUUAUGACAUUUGCGCAUAAAGGCGUUUCCACCGCCACUUCAAACAAACAAUUUAUCUGUUGAUUUUUCCAUCAUUUGCUUUCAUGAUGUUUUUUAUACGGGAUUACAUUUGUGUUGUGCAGUGAUGGCUGCUCUUCCUCCAUGUAGUUUUAUAAGUGCAAUAGCCUACUUUUUUCAAAGUGUACUCUAGGGUACUCAACUAAUAUUUGAGAAGGUCUGGAUGGAUAUGGUAAUUAUCAGGGUAGUAACAAACCCCCACCUCAUGACUCAAGCAACCCCAAACUGAUCAAUCUGUUCACACCUCUCUUUUUGGCAGAGAGAAAAUGUUGCCAUUUUAAUGCUCAUUUCCUGCAAUUGUACACAUUUCACCAUGGGGAGGAGAGAAAAUGAUGUUUUAUAGCAAAUUUCUUACAAUUACACACAGCUUGCUGCAGCUUUGGUAUCAUAUUAUGAUACCAAAAUGACUCAGCAAUAUCAAAUGUGGGCCCGCUGGGGGUCGAGGCCCUUGGGGCCCUGUGCAAGUAAUAUGGCCAUAAUAACUACAAGAUUUUGGCCGAGAUUCAUUCAGUUCCAGCGUUAAUCCAAGAUAACUGACAACUUCAUAGCAUAUUUCUAUUAUUUAGGCGAUGUCGGUGGUGUAACUGUGUUGGAGCUGUCCCCUUUCGUUCUUAGCUAGCCACUGACUACAUUUUAGCUAGCUGGUUAGCAGAGCAGUAGAUAAACAAAUAUGUUUGUAUUAUUUAGUCUAUAUAAUCGUUUGUACAGUAUGUCGACUUUGGUGUCUGUUUCAGACGUUAUGGCAUUUAAGGAUGAGCAUAAGAUUAUUAAAAGGGGAGAAGACCACUAUAAAUCUGACCAUGUGGAGAAGUGCAGCUAUAGUGAGGGGCAAUUUACCGGCUUGGUCAGAGCCAGCAUGAGGAAUAAAGAUUAUCCUGUGUCGGUGAGUGUAGCUAUUAAGUUAAGUUUGAGCGUCUUAGCAAUACAAUGUGUUCUAUACAACUGUCAACAUUCUACAAGGAAAGAGACACUUAAUCAAUGUUAUAAUUAUUAACCAGAUUAUCCUGGAUACCAGAUUUAGAUGAGUGCUAUAACUCAGUUCUAGAAUGUUGUAAUUGAUGAUAAUGAAUCAAAAGAAUCUAUUGACAUUCAGAAUUGUCUUUGUUUAGACAUCAAGUCUGUAUUGUAGUUGCAUGACCAGAGACAAAUCUUCAAAGGCACAGUAUUUAUUUUUUUCAUAGUGGUACAUGGAUUCAAAGGUCUGGAUUUCUAGAAUCCUUCCCACUGUAUGAUUGAUAUGUCAAGUGAUAAAAUCCCCAGUUAUCAAAAAAUGUAAAUGACAGUUUAUUUAAUAUUCUACAGCUGUAAUGACAUCAAAUCAAACUUUAAUUACAGAGGCAAGAAAAAGUAUGUGAACCCUUGGAUUUAAUAACUGGUUGACCCUCCUUGGCAGCAAUAACCUCAACCAAACAUUUUCUGUAGCUGCGGAUCAGACCUGCACAACGGUCAGGAGGAAUUUUGGACCACUCCUCUUUACAAAACUGUUUCAGUUCAGCAAUAUUCUUGGGAUGUCUGGUGUGAACUGCUCUCUUGAGGUCAUGCCACAGCAUCUCAAAUCGGGGUGAGGUCAGGACUCUGACUGGGCCUCUCCAGGAGGCGUAUUUUCUUCUAUUGAAGCCAUUCUGUUGUUGAUUGACUUCUGUGUUCUGGGUUGUUGUCCUGUUGCAUCACCCAACUUCUGUUGAGCUUCAAUUGACGGACAGAUAGCCUAACACUCUCCUGCAAAAUGUCUUGAUCAACAUGGGAAUUCAUUUUUCCGUUGAUGAUAGCAAGCUGUCCAGGCCCUGAGGCAGCAAAGCAGCCCCAAACCAUGAUGCUCCCUCCACCAUACUUUACAUUUGGGAUGAGGUUUUGAUGUCGGUGUGCUGUGCCUAUUUUUCUCAACACAUAGUGUUGUGUGUUCCUUCCAAACAACUCAACUGUAGUUUCAUCUGUCCACAGAAUAUUUUGCCAGUAGCGCUGUGUAACAUCCAGGUGCACUUUUGCAAACUUUUUUGGGACAGCAGUGGCUUCUUCCGUGUUGUUCUCCCAUGAACACCAUUCUUGUUUAGUGUUUUACAUAUCGUGGACUCAUCAACUGUCACGCCCUGGACAUAGAGAGGUUUUUAUUCUGUAUUUUGGUUAGGCCAGGGUGUGACUAGGGAGGGUAUUAUAUUUUCCUUUUUCUAUGUUUUGGUAUUUCUUUGUUUUGGCCGGGUAUGGUUCUCAAUCAGGGACAGCUGUCUAUCGUUGUCUCUGAUUGGGAACCAUACUUAGGUAGACUUUUCCCACAGGGUUGGUGUGGGUAGUUGUUUUCUGUUUGGUGUGUUCACCUGACAGAGCUCUUGCGUUUUGUUCCCUUUGUUUUUUUGUUGCGGUGUUCAAGUUAUUAAUAAACAUCAUGAACACGUACCAUGCUGCGCUUUGGUCUACUCCUUCUUCCAAAGACAACCGUUACAGAACUACCCACCACCAACGGACCAAGCAGCAUGGUAAGAAGGACUCCUGGACAUGGGAGGAUAUCCUGGACGGCAAGGGAUCCUACACAUGGGAGGAGAUCCUGGCUGGAAGGUAUCGCCUCCCAUGGGAACAGGUGGAGGCAGCCAGGAGAGCGGAGGCAGCAGGAGAGGGGAGCGAACGUUAUGCGGGAACACGGCUGGCAAGGAAGCCUGAGAGGCAGCCCCAAAAUGUAUUUUUUGGGGGGGGCACACUGGGAGAUUGGCGGAGUCAGGCGAUAGACCUGAGCCAACUCCCCGUGCUCACCGGAAGCAGCGUGGUACUGGUCAGGCACCAUGUUAUGCGGUGAAGCGCACGGUGUCUCCAGUAUGUGCUCAUAGCCCGGUGCGCUAUAGGCCAGCUCCCCGCAAGUGCCAUGCGAGAGUGGGCAUCGAGCCAGGGCGGAUUGUGCCAGCUCAGCGCGUCUGGUCUCCAGUGCGCCGUUUCGGCCCAGGGUAUUCUGCGCCGGCUCUGCGUACUGUGUCUCCGGGGCGCUUGGAGGACUCAGUUCGUCCUGUGCCUGCGCUCCGCACGUGCCGGGCGAAAGUGGGCAUUCAGCCUGGAAGAGUGGUGUCAAGCCUACGCACCAGAUCUCCAGUGCUCCCCCACAGCCCGGUCUAUCCUGUGCCUGCUCCCAGAGCCAGGCCUCCUGCAUGUCUCCCCAGCCUGGUGAGUCCUGUGCCUGCUCCCAGAGCCAGGCCUCCUGCAUGUCUCCUCAGCCUGGUGAAUCCUGUGCCUGCGCCCAGAGCCAGGCCUCCUGCAAGUCUCCCCAGCCUGGUGAGUCCUGUGCCUGCUCCCAGAGCCAGGCCUCCUGCAUGUCUCCCCAGCCUGGUGAAUCCUGUGCCUGCGCCCAGAGCCAGGCCUCCUGCAAGUCUCCCCAGCCUGGUGAGUCCUGUGCCUGACUCCAGUCCAGAGCUGCCAGAGUCUCCCGCCUGUCCGGAGCUGCCAGAGUCUCCCGCCUGGCCGGAGCUGCCAGAGUCUCCCGCCUGGCCGGAGCUGCCAGAGUCUCCCGCCUGGCCGGAGCUGCCAGAGUCUCCCGCCUGGCCGGAGCUGCCAGAGUCUCCCGCCUGGCCGGAGCUGCCAGAGUCUCCCGCCAGUCCGGAGCUGCCAGAGUCUCCCGCCAGUCCGGAGCUGCCAGAGUCGGUGCCCAGUCCGGGGUCGGCGGCGAGGGUCCCCACUCCAGAGGUGCCACCUAAGUGGGCCGUGCCAGAGGUGGAGCGGGGUCUGCAUCCCUCACCGGAGCCGCCACCACGGAGAACUGCCCACCCAGACCCUCCCCUAUAGGUUCAGGUUUUGCGGCCAGAGUCCGCAGCUUUGGGGGGGUACUUUCACGCGCUGGUCAUAGAGAGGUUUUUAUUCUCUAUUUUGGUUAGGCCAGGGUGUGACUAGGGAGGGUAUUCUAUGUUCCUUUUUCUAUGUUUUGGUAUUUCUUUGUUUUGGCCGGGUAUGGUUCUCAAUCAGGGACAGCUGUCUAUCGUUGUCUCUGAUUGGGAACCAUACUUAGGUAGCCUUUUCCCACAGGGUUGGUGUGGGUAGUCGUUUUCUGUUUGGUGUGUUCACCUGACAGAGCUCUUGCGUUUUGUUCUACUUAGUUUUUUUGUUGCGGUGUUCAAGUUAUUAAUAAACAUCAUGAACACGUACCAUGCUGCGCUUUGGUCUACUCCUUCUUCCAAAGACAACCGUUACAUCAAUGGAGAUGUUAGCAUGUUCCAGAGAUUUCUGUAAGUCUUUAGCUGAGACUCCAGGAUUCUUCUUAACCUCAUUGAGCAUUCUGCGCUGUGCUCUUGGUGACAUCUUUGCAGGAUGGCCACUCCUAUGGAGAGUAGCAACAGUGCUGAACUUUCUCCAUUUAUAGACAAUUUGUCUUACCGUGGACUGAUGAACAUCAAGGCUUUUCGAGAUACUUUUGUAACCCUUUCCAGCUUUAUGCAAGUCAACAAUUGUUAAUCUUAGGUCUUCUGAGAUCUCUUGUGUUCUAGGCAUGGUUCACAUCGGGCAAUACAUCUUGUGAAUAGCAAACUCAAAUUUUGUGAGUGUUUUUUAUAGGGCAAGGCAGCUCUAACCAACAUCUCCAAUCUCGUCUCAUUGAUUGGACUCCAGGUUAUUUGAGUCCUGACUCAAAUUAGCUUUUGCUGAAGUCAUUAGCCUAGGGGUUCACAUACUUUUUCUAACCUUCACUGUGAAUGUUUAAAGGAUGUAUUCAAUAUAGAUAAGAAAAUACAAUAAUUUGUGUGUUAUUAGUUUGAACACACUAUGUUUGUCUAUUGUUGUGACAGAUGAAGAUCAGAUCAAAUUGCAUGACCAAUUAUGCAGAAAUGCCAUUGUAAAUCCCGUGUAACAUAAUGGCGCCGGAGGGGAUGGCUGCCAUUUUAUGGGCUCCUAAUCAACUGUCCUAUUUUGUUGUUUUUUUCGCAUUGAUUGUAACUUAUUUUGUACAUAAUGUUGCUGCUACCAUCUCUAAUGACCAAAAAGAGCUUCUGGAUAUCAGAACAGCGAUUACUCACCUCGAACUUGCCAAAGGUUUUUCUUUAAUGAGCCCGACUAUCACGUUCUGACCUUAGUAUGAAGUCAUUUUUCCAUAGUAGAUUGGUCAGGGCGUGACAGGGGGGUGUUUUCCAUGUCAUUGUUUGUACCUGACGGGACUGUUGUUUGGUCGUUUUGUUAUUUUUGCAAAGUGUUUUCAUUAAAAGUAAAUAUGAGCACUUCACACGGCUCAUUUUGGUCUCCUUUAGACAACCCAUAUUACAGAACCACCCACCAUGAUUGGAUCAAGCGGCGUGCCCGGGUAGAUAUGGACACCUGGUCAGUGGAAGAAUGGUGGGAAAGGAGAAACUGGACUUGGGGCCAGGUAAUCAAAAGAUUUCGGAACUUACCUGGAAGAAACAGGAGGCGACCCCCACAAAAAAAAUUGGGGGGGGGGGGCACACAAGUAGUUUGGCUGGGCAAGGGUUGAGGCCUGAGUCAACUACUCGUGCCUUUUGUAGCGAGCAUGUGCCUGCCUCUCGCACUCUCUCUCCAGUGCGCCUCCGUAGCACAGUAUGUCCUGUGCCUGUUCCUCGCACUCUUCCUCUAGAGUGCGUCCAUAACCCGGUACGGCCAGUGCCUGCUGUGAGUACUCAGCCCUUAGUGUGUCUCCCCAGUCCAGUGAGACUGAUUCCUGCUCCUCGCACUCUUCCUCCAGUGCGCAUCCAUAACCCGGUACAGCCAGUGCCUGCUGUGAGCACUCGGCCCUUAGUCCGUCUCCCCAGUCCGGUGAGACUGAUUCCUGCUCCUCGCACUCUCCCUCCAGGGCGCAUUCAUAACCCGGUACAGCCAGUGCCUGCUGUGAGCACUCGGCCCUUAGUGUGUCUCCCCAGUCCGGUGAGACCAGCGACGCCUCGCAGCCCAGAGCCUUCAGCGGUGGUCUGCAACCCAGAGCCUUCAGCGGUGGUCUGCAGCCCAGAGCCUUCAGCGGUGGUCUGCAGCCCAGAGCCUUCAGCGGUGGUCUGCAGCCCAGAGCCUUCAGCGGUGGUCUGCAGCCCAGAGCCUUCAGCGGUGGUCUGCAGCCCAGAUCCUCCAGCGGCGGCUUGGAGGUCAGAACCUCCAGUAGUGGUCUACAGCACAGUGAUUCCGGUAAGGAUCUACAAUCCGAUUGCUACAAUAAAGAUCUACAGGCUUAUGUUACAGAAGCAGAGGAAUCUAUGGGCGGAAUGGAGGUUUCGCCCUGAGCCAGAGCCUCUCCGUUGCUGGAGGAUCGGGAGAAAAGGAAGGUUCUGGGUGUUGCAUAUGAGCCGCCAUAGACUGUUGUCACCCUCCCUGCCCUCCCCUUUGUGUUUGGGGUUGUUUUUUGUUUUUUUUGGUUUAGGUGCAGUCGGAGUCUGGUGGGGGUUACUGUCAUGUUCUGACCUUAGUAUGAGGUCAUUUUUCCAUAGUAGAUUGGUCAGGGCGUGACAGGGGGGUGUUUUCCAUUUCGUUGUUUGUACCUGACGGGACUGUUGUUUGGUUGUUUUGUUAUUUUUGCAAAGUGUUUUCAUUAAAAGUAAAUAUGAGCACUUCACACGCCGCAUUUUGGUCUCCUUUAGACGACCCAUAUUACACCAACAGGAAGGUUAUACUGCUUUCCUGGGACCAGGCCCAAAUCCCCGUCAUUCGUGUGAAGAAAAGAAAGAAAUACAGGGGGUGGCGAUCGGGGUGCCUUGUGAGAAUUCUUCGGUGAGUGGUUAACCAGCCUCUACCAUCCGUUCUAUUGGCUAACGUGCAAUCAUUGGAAAAUAUCUUACAAACGAGACAUUAAAAACUGAAAUAUUUUAUGUUUCAUCGAGUCGUGGCUGAAUGACGACUCAUAUAUAUAUACUGCUCAAAAAAAUAAAGGGAACACUUAAACAACACAUCCUAGAUCUGAAUGAAAGAAAAAUUCUUAUUAAAUACUUUUUUCUUUACAUAGUUGAAUGUGCUGACAACAAAAUCACACAAAAAUAAUCAAUGGAAAUCCAAUUUAUCAACCCAUGGAGGUCUGGAUUUGGAGUCACACUCAAAAUUAAAGUGGAAAACCACACUACAGGCUGAUCGAACUUUGAUGUAAUGUCCUUAAAACAAGUCAAAAUGAGGCUCAGUAGUGUGUGUGGCCUCCACGUGCCUGUAUGACCUCCCUACAACGCCUGGGCAUGCUUCUGAUGAGGUGGCGGAUGGUCUCCUGAGGGAUCUCCUCCCAGACCUGGACUAAAGCAUCCGCCAACUCCUGGACAGUCUGUGGUGUAACGUGGCGUUGGUGGAUGGAGUGAGACAUGAUGUCCCAGAUGUGCUCAAUUGGAUUCAGGUCUGGGGAACGGGCGGGCCAGUCCAUAGCAUCAAUGCCUUCCUCUUGCAGGAACUGCUGACACACUCCAGCCACAUGAGGUCUAGCAUUGUCUUGCAUUAGGAUGAACCCAGGGCCAACCGCACCAGCAUAUGGUCUCACAAGGGGUCUGAGGAUCUCAUCUCGGUACCUAAUGGCAGUCAGGCUACCUCUGGCGAGCACAUGGAGGGCUGUGCGGCCCCCAAAGAAAUGGCACCCCACACCAUGACUGACCCACCGCCAAACCGGUCAUGCUGGAGGAUGUUGCAGGCAGCAGAACGUUCUCCACGGCGUCUCCAGACUCUGUCACGUGCUCAGUGUGAACCUGCUUUCAUCUGUGAAGAGCACAGGGCGCCAGUGGCGAAUUUGCCAAUCUUGGUGUUCUCUGGCAAAUGCCAAACGUCCUGCACGGUGUUGGGCUGUAAGCACAACCACCACCUGUGGACGUCGGGCCCUCAUACCACCCUCAUGGAGUCUGUUUCUGACCAUUUGAGCAGACACAUGCACAUUUGUGGCCUGCUGGAGGUCAUUUUGCAGGGCUCUGGCAGUGCUUCUCCUGCUCCUCCUUGCACAAAGGCGGAGGUAGUGGUCCUGCUGCUGGGUUGUUUCCCUCCUACGGCCUCCUCCACAUCUCCUGAUGUACUGGCCUGUCUCCUGGUAGCGCCUCCAUGCUCUGGACACUACACUGACAGACACAGCAAACCUUCUUGCCACAGCUCGCAUUGAUGUGCCAUCCUGGAUGAGCUGCACUACCUGAG
rnacentral:lncRNA from 1 species